GUGCUUCCUUUGGUAGCACAUAUACUAAAACUGGAAUGAUACAGAAAAGAUUAGCAUGGCCCCUGUGCAAGGAUGACACACAAAUUCGUGAAGUGUUCCAUAUAUUU
rnacentral:snRNA from 1 species